AUACGGAGGUUGCAAGCGUUAUCCGGAUUUAUUGGGUUUAAAGGGUGCGUAGGCGGUUUGCUAAGCGGGAGGUGAAAUGCCGGCGCUCAACGUCGGAAGUGCCUCCCGAACUGGUGGACUGGAAUGACUCUGCCGUGGGAGGAAUGUGUAGUGUAGCGGUGAAAUGCUUAGAGAUUACACAGAACACCGAUUGCGAAGGCAUCUCACGAAGGGUUGGUUGACGCUGAGGCACGAAAGCGUGGGGAUCAAACAGGAUUAGAUACCCUGGUAGUCCACGCAGUAAACGAUGAUGGCUAACCGCUGGGCUUAUCAGUUCAGUGGCCAAGCGAAAGCGAUAAGCCAUCCACCUGGGGAGUACGACCGCAAGGUUGAAACUCAAAUGAAUUGACGGGG
rnacentral:rRNA from 1 species